UACAGAGACCUCAAGCGUUAUCCGGAAUCAUUGGGCGUAAAGCGUACCGAUAGGUGGUUUGGAAAGUCGGCUGUGAAAUUCCAGGGCUCAACCCUGGAACUGUCAGCUGAAACUUCUAAACUAGAGGGGCAAAGAGGAAGCUGGAACGAACGGUGUAGUAGUGAAAUGCGUUGAUAUCGUUCGGAACACCAAUAGCGAAGGCAGGCUUCUGGGUGCCACCUGACACUGCUAGGACGAAAGCGUGGGGAGCAAACAGG
rnacentral:rRNA from 1 species